GACGAACGCUGGCGGCGUGCUUAACACAUGCAAGUCGAACGGAAAGGCCCUGCUUUUGUGGGGUGCUCGAGUGGCAAACGGGUGAGUAACACGUGAGUAACCUGCCCUUGCCUUUGGGAUAACUUCAGGAAACUGGGGCUAAUACCGGAUAGGAGCUCCUCCUGCAGGGUGGGGGUUGGAAAGUUUGGCGGGUGGGGGUGGGCUCGCGGCUUAUCAGCUUGUUGGUGGGGUAGUGGCUUACCAAGGCUUUGACGGGUAGCCGGCCUGAGAGGGUGACCGGCCACAUUGGGACUGAGAUACGGCCCAGACUCCUACGGGAGGCAGCAGUGGGGAAUAUUGCACAAUGGGCGGAAGCCUGAUGCAGCAACGCCGCGUGCGGGAUGACGGCCUUCGGGUUGUAAACCGCUUUCGCCUGUGACGAAGCGUGAGUGGCGGUAAUGGGUAAAGAAGCACCGGCUAACUACGUG
rnacentral:rRNA from 1 species